rnacentral:rRNA from 1 species
AUAUACUCCAUAGAUUAGAGACACUGGAAUGUUCUUUAGUCGAAAGUUCUGGCGCCUUAGGAUGGAUCUGCGGUCGAUUAGGUUGUUGUUGGGGUAACGGCCCAACAAGCCUGUAAUCGAUACGGGUUGUGGGAGCAAGAGCCCGGAGAUGGAAUCUGAGACACGAUUCCAGGCCCUACGGGGCGCAGCAGGCGCGAAAACUUUACAAUGCAGGAAACUGUGAUAAGGGAACUCCGAGUGCCCGUAUACGCGGGCUGUCCAGGUGUUUAAAAAUCAUCUGAAGAAAGGGCCGGGCAAGACCGGUGCCAGCCGCCGCGGUAAUACCGGCGGCUCGAGUGGUGGCCACUAUUAUUGGGCUUAAAGCGUCCGUAGCUGGACCGAUAAGUCUCUUGGGAAAUCCGCCGGCUCAACCGGCGGGCGUCUAAGGGAUACUGUUAGUCUAGGGACCGGGAGAGGUGAGAGGUACUCCGGGGGUAGGAGUGAAAUCCUGUAAUCCCCGGGGGACCACCGAUGGCGAAGGCAUCUCACCAGAACGGCUCCGACAGUGAGGGACGAAAGCUGGGGGAGCGAACCGGAUUAGAUACCCGGGUAGUCCCAGCCGUAAACUAUGCGCGUUAGGUGU